rnacentral:rRNA from 1 species
GACGAACGCUGGCGGCGUGCUUAACACAUGCAAGUCGAACGGAAAGGCCCUGCUUUUGUGGGGUGCUCGAGUGGCGAACGGGUGAGUAACACGUGAGUAACCUGCCCUUGACUUUGGGAUAACUUCAGGAAACUGGGGCUAAUACCGGAUAGGAGCUCCUGCUGCAUGGUGGGGGUUGGAAAGUUUCGGCGGUUGGGGAUGGACUCGCGGCUUAUCAGCUUGUUGGUGGGGUAGUGGCUUACCAAGGCUUUGACGGGUAGCCGGCCUGAGAGGGUGACCGGCCACAUUGGGACUGAGAGACGGCGCAGACUCCUACGGGAGGCAGCAGGGGGGAAUAUUGCACAAUGGGCGGAAGCCUGAUGCAGCAACGCCGCGUGCGGGAUGACGGCCUUCGGGUUGUAAACCGCUUUCGCCUGUGACGAAGCGUGAGUGACGGUAAUGGGUAAAGAAGCACCGGCUAACUACGUG